rnacentral:rRNA from 1 species
AAACAUUGCUUUAUGUUCUCUUAUAAAGUUAACCCUGCUCAAUGAUAUGUUAAAUAGCCGCAGUACUUUGACUGUGCAAAGGUAGCAUAAUCAGUUGACUUAUAAUUGAAGUCUGGAAUGAAUGGGAACAUGGGUAGUUACUGUCUCACCAUAAAUGAAUGAAUUUACUAAUUAAGUGAAAAUUCUUAUGACAAUAUAAUAGACGAGAAGACCCUAGAAAUUUUAUAUAAUUACAUCUUACGUAAACUAUUUUGUUGGGGCGACAGAACAACAUAAAACUUGUUUACUAUUAUUUGACCUUAUUGAGUAGUAUAAAUAAAUUACUCUAGGGAUAACAGCAUAAUACAAAAGAGUUUGUGACCUCGAUGUUGGACUAGGAAUAUUAUUGUUUAGAAGAUAAUAAUAUAGGCUCUGUUCGAGCUUUAAUUCCUACGUGAUC